UACGGAGGAUGCAAGCGUUAUCCGGAUUCAUUGGGUUUAAAGGGUGCGCAGGUGGGAAAAUAAGUCAGUGGUGAAAUACUGCCGCUUAACGGUAGAAUUGCCAUUGAUACUGUUUUUCUUGAGUAUGGUUGAGGUAGGUGGAAUGUGUUGUGUAGCGGUGAAAUGCAUAGAUAUGACACAGAACGCCAAUUGCGAAGGCAGCUUACUAAGCCAUUACUGACGCUGAGGCACGAAAGCGUGGGGAUCAAACAGGAUUAGAAACCCCAGUAGUCC
rnacentral:rRNA from 1 species